ensembl:lncRNA
CCAGUUCCUGUACACACCACGAGAGAGCUUGAACAGACAAAAUGAGGUUUAAUACAAGGGGAUACUUUAAAAUUUAAACAGCUAAAGCCAAGUUUGUUAUAGAAGAUUUACAAAUAUAUGACCAUAGACCAAGAUGGUGGAUUUGCUGCAAGCAACAUGAUGUGACACCCCUGCUGACAGCCAUGCAAAGGCUACAUCUGAGAAACUCCUCUUGCCUGUGAUGGCCCUGAGACUUUCGGAGAUCACCAGACCUGAUACACUGCCUACUGAUGAGACCCAAAAACAGGCCCAAAGACAAUCACAGCUCACCCUGAUACAGUUGCUGCCAUUUUAACAGCAAAAUCUUUAUUGCUAUUUUAAUCCAAUAAACUUUG